rnacentral:rRNA from 1 species
AAUGGGGGCAACCCUGAACCAGCCAUGCCGCGUGCAGGAAGACGGCCUAUGGGUUGUAAACUGCUUUUAUCAGGGGCUAACUGGUGCUAUACGCACCACUGAAGGUACCUGAAGAAUAAGCACCGGCUAACUACGUGCCAGCAGCCGCGGUAAUACGUAGGGUGCAAGCGUUGUCCGGAUUUAUUGGGUUUAAGGGUGCGCAGGCGGUCUAUUAAGUUAGUGGUGAAAUCGUACGGCUUAACCGUAUACCCGCCAUUGAUACUGGUAGACUUGAGUGCAAUAGAGGAAGCUGGAAUGCGUGGUGUAGCGGUGAAAUGCUUAGAUAUCACGCAGAACACCGAUUGCGAAGGCAGGCUUCUAUGUUGCAACUGACGCUGAGGCACGAAAGCGUGGGUAGCGAACAGGAUU